GAUGAACGCUGGCGGCGUGCUUAACACAUGCAAGUCGAACGAUGAAGCCCAGCUUGCUGGGUGGAUUAGUGGCGAACGGGUGAGUAACACGUGAGUAACCUGCCCUUAACUCUUGGAUAAGCCUGGGAAACUGGGUCUAAUACCGGAUAGGAGCGUCCACCGCAUGGUGGGUGUUGGAAAGAUUUGUCGGUUUUGGAUGGACUCGCGGCCUAUCAGCUUGUUGGUGAGGUAGUGGCUCACCAAGGCGACGACGGGUAGCCGGCCUGAGAGGGUGACCGGCCACACUGGGACUGAGACACGGCCCAGACUCCUACGGGAGGCAGCAGUGGGGAAUAUUGCACAAUGGGCGGAAGCCUGAUGCAGCAACGCCGCGUGAGGGAUGACGGCCUUCGGGUUGUAAACCGCUUUCGGUAGGGAAGAAGCGAGAGUGACGGUACCUGCAGAAGAAGCACCGGCUAACUACGUG
rnacentral:rRNA from 1 species